GACGAACGCUGGCGGCGUGCUUAACACAUGCAAGUCGAACGGAAAGGCCCUGCUUUUGUGGGGUGCUCGAGUGGCGAACGGGUGAGUAACACGUGAGUAACCUGCCCUUGACUUUGGGAUAACUUCAGGAAACUGGGGCUAAUACCGGAUAGGAGCUCCUGCUGCAUGGUGGGGGUUGGAAAGUUUCGGCGGUUGGGGAUGGACUCGCGGCUUAUAGCUUGUUGGUGGGGUAGUGGCUUACCAAGGCUUUGACGGGUAGCCGGCCUGAGAGGGUGACCGGCCACAUUGGGACUGAGAUACGGCCCAGACUCCUACGGGAGGCAGCAGUGGGGAAUAUUGCACAAUGGGCGGAAGCCUGAUGCAGCAACGCCGCGUGCGGGAUGACGGCCUUCGGGUUGUAAACCGCUUUCGCCUGUGACGAAGCGUGAGUGACGGUAAUGGGUAAAGAAGCACCGGCUAACUACGUG
rnacentral:rRNA from 1 species